UAGUAUAAAACGUAUAAAUGUACUGUGUGUAUGUCUAUGAUGCCUGAUCCUAAAACAUACAAACAACAUUUUGAAAGUAAACAUCCUAAGGUCGCACUACCAGAAAACUUGAAAGAUAUUUCAGCUUAAAAAUCUUCACAGAUAUUCUUUAUGACAAUAUGCAAACAUGGUUGUUGGUAAAUGGAUACUUCCUAAAGACAUGAUACUUAAUUACCAUAUGUAAACAGUGACACUUUUCUUUAUAUUAAAUAGAUAUAAAUGUUGGUGAAGGAAAACCCUAACUUUAUCAUGUUUUCAGGGAGAUAUAUGUCAAAGUAUUAACACUGAAAUUUGCCAGCCUUUUAAGUAGUACAUUGAGCAAGAUUUUUUACAUUGGUACAAAGGAAGUAAAUGAAAUUUAAAAUCUUUAAGAGACAAAUUUGUACCAUUUGGAUAUUUGUUUAUAAGCAUUCAUAAGUCUUUAUAUAUGAUAUAUUUGGUUAUUGUCAAUUUAAGUUUGGUUCGAAGCUUGUGCCUUAGAAGGUGAAUUAAAUCUUUGCCAUGUUUAGGGAAUGACCAUUCAGCUUUGACAUGGGUGGAACAUUUAAUUUCAUGGCAAAUAAUUGUUUUCUUUCUCCCUGAUCAAAGUUGGGAUUAGAAGAUUUUAUUUAGAGAAUAAGCAUACCCCCCCCCCCCCCCCCCCCCCCCCCCCCUGAAAGUAAAUGUAUGUUCCCUUAUUGUUUGUACUCCAAGGACUUGUUCAUUGUAUUUAAAUGAACUGAAAUGUUCUCUCCUUGAAAUAAAUACCUUGCAAAAUAUCACCAUAAAGGGUUAACAUAAGAAACACACGAUGUGUCUGUUGAAAAGACAAAGAGAAGUAUGACCUCCAUUAAUUUUGAGAGAUUAUUAGGUUAAGUGUAAGAAGUCUUGCUCAUUAUGAAUUAAACAUUUGCCUUACUUGCUGUAAUAGUAUAUCAUGUAUUUUUCCUUGUAUUUAUCUCUAUUGUGUUUGUUUAACAUUUUAAUUCUGAGAAAUUUUUAUUUAAUAACAUAUUGAAUUGCUAAAGAUUGGAAAAGUAUCAAUUUCUAAUUGAUAUGAUACAAUAUGACAAGUUGAGAUUUUUUCCAUUUACAAUGAUGCUGACACUGAUUUGUAAUUAUAAAAAGUACAUACCUCAUUGUGGUUGAUUUAAAAAUAUGAAUGAUAGACAGUUUAUUGAUUUAGUAAAUGAUGUUCUAAAUGUAUUUUCAUCCCAAUUUGUGAAAAGUUUAUAACUUUAAAACCAAGAUUUGACAUCCAUUACUUAAAAAAUGCAUUAAUAAUUAAGCUCUUGAAAUUUUUUUUGACAAACUAGAUUUAUCUUAUUACAGCAAGAAAGGUGAUACCAGCAUUCAGGUAUUUACUGUCUCCAAAUGUUUUGUAUGAUUAUGUGAUAAAAUAAAUUGGAAAUAUAGUCACUUCCACUGAAAUGUACAACACAUUUAAAUAUACCAUUGAAAGUUCUUUAUCUCAAUACAGAUCUGUACAUGUGUAAUUGUACAUGUGUAAUUGUACAUUUUGCCACUCGUAUAUACUGUAGGAUUGAAUGAGUUCUAAUGGGCCUUCUGUGAUUGACAAGUCUAUCAAGCACCUGUCAGUUAGUAUCACACACUUGUUCAGUCAUAAAUAGAAUAAGUUACCAUGAGUGCAGCAAUGUAGAUCUAGGAGUAUUAACAAAGUAAUGAACUUUCAAUAGUAUUUUUUAACGUGUUUAAGUAGGUUUUAUAUUAACAAUUGAUAUUCAUUCCUUUUGACAGUUGUACAGUACAUUGUAAUACCUGUAAUAAAAUGUUUUAUUGAA